GGUGAUAUGGCCGAGUUGGUCUAAGGCGCCAGAAUCAGGAUCUGGUCCGAAAGGGCGUGGGUUCAAAUCCCACUGUCAUCA
rnacentral:tRNA from 1 species